GGGGUUGUAGCUCAGUGGUACAGUGCUUGCCUUGCAUGCAUGAGGCCCUGUGUUCAAUCCUCAGCACCACA
rnacentral:tRNA from 1 species